GAUGAACGCUAGCGGCAGGCUUAACACAUGCAAGUCGAGGGGUAUGCCGAUUUAUCGGCAGAGACCGGCGCACGGGUGCGUAACGCGUAUGCAAUCUACCUUUCACAGAGGGAUAGCCCAGAGAAAUUUGGAUUAAUACCUCAUAGUAUAGCAGUUUCGCAUGAAACCACUAUUAAAGUUCCAACGGUGAAAGAUGAGCAUGCGUCCCAUUAGCUAGAUGGUAAGGUAACGGCUUACCAUGGCUACGAUGGGUAGGGGUCCUGAGAGGGAGAUCCCCCCCACACUGGUACUGAGACACGGCCCAGACUCCUACGGGAGGCAGCAGUGGGGAAUAUUGGACAAUGGGCGAAAGCCUGAUCCAGCAAUGCCGCGUGAGUGAUGAAGGCCUUAGGGUNUAAAGCUCUUUUGCCCGGGAUGAUAAUGAC
rnacentral:rRNA from 1 species